UUCAAAGGCAUGACUCCCUCCUCCAAUCUACCAACAGGGACCUGGGCCAGAAAUAUUUCUUCUUGGCCUUUAGAUUUUAUGGGACACCUUUUUUUAGUAACACCAUGUGUUGGUGAGAAUGCUGGCAGUAAAUGGCUGAGCUUGGCUCCUGUGUGAAAGUCAGGUCGGAUCCCGCCCUUGGACUGUGUAUGCCCCUUGGACUUCUUGGUUAUUGGAAGGGAAGGAGUAGCUUCAAGAGUAAAAUAAGUGGGAGAAACAUGCACAAUCUAACACUGCAAAGGAAGAGUGCUGUGAUUUUCUUCCCCAUUUGAGAAGCUCCGUGAAAAGGAAACCAUUGAUGAGAACAAAUGCAGACAUGACAGGUUGAUGCCCCAGCAGGUAAGAAAUCUAGAU
rnacentral:lncRNA from 1 species